rnacentral:rRNA from 1 species
UGGGGAAUAUUGCACAAUGGGCGAAAGCCUGAUACAGCAACGCCGCGUGAGUGAUGAAGGUCUUCGGAUUGUAAAGCUCUGUCUUUUGGGACGAUAAUGACGGUACCAAAGGAGGAAGCCACGGCUAACUACGUGCCAGCAGCCGCGGUAAUACGUAGGUGGCGAGCGUUGUCCGGAUUUACUGGGCGUAAAGGGUGCGUAGGCGGAUGUUUAAGUGAGAUGUGAAAUACCCGGGCUUAACUUGGGUGCUGCAUUUCAAACUGGAUAUCUAGAGUGCAGGAGAGGAGAAUGGAAUUCCUAGUGUAGCGGUGAAAUGCGUAGAGAUUAGGAAGAACACCAGUGGCGAAGGCGAUUCUCUGGACUGUAACUGACGCUGAGGCACGAAAGCGUGGGUAGCAAACAGGAUUAGAUACCCUGGUAGUCCACGCCGUAAACGAUGAGUACUAGGUGUAGGAGGUAUCGACCCCUUCUGUGCCGCAGUAAAACACAUUAAGUACUCCGCCUGGGAAGUACGAUCGCAAGAUUAAAAC